rfam:Halobacteroides halobius DSM 5150, complete genome.
UUCAUCGUGAGAUGUAAUCUGAAGAGUUUGAGGCGAAAAAUCAGUCCGGAACAAUAUGUGAACUGAAGGUGGCAUUCAUUAGUGACGAUCUACCAAAAGGAUGGAGAAGUCCAAAGCUGACUUACAGACCAUUGGAGUAUGUUAGAUUAAUGAGUGUGAUUAUGGUCGGAAUGAUUGGAAUAU